ensembl:rRNA 5S_rRNA 5S ribosomal RNA
GUCUACGGUCAUACCACCCUGAACACGCCCGAUCUCAUCUGAUCUCAGAAGCUAAGCAGGGUUGGGCCUGGUUAGUACUUAGAUGGGAGACAAAAGAAGUAAUAGCAGCACACAGGUUCUGAUGGACC